rnacentral:rRNA from 1 species
AGAAUCAACGCUGGCGGCGUGCCUAACACAUGCAAGUCGAACGCGAAAGUCCCGAAAGGGAUUAGUAGAGUGGCAAACGGGUGAGUAACACGUGGGUGACCUGCCUUCGAGUGGGGGAUAAUGUCCCGAAAGGGACGCUAAUACCGCAUAACAUCCUGCCUUUGAAAAGGCGGUGAUCAAAGCUGGGGACCGCAAGGCCUAGCGCUGGAAGAGGGGCCCGCGCCUGAUUAGCUAGUUGGUGAGGUAACGGCUCACCAAGGCGACGAUCAGUA